rnacentral:rRNA from 1 species
GACGAACGCUGGCGGCGUGCCUAAUACAUGCACGUCGAGCGAAGCGGCGGAUGGGUGAGUAACGCGUGGGUAACCUGCCCUUAAGUCUGGGAUACCCUUUGGAAACAGAUGCUAAUACCGGAUAUUAAAGGAUCGACCUGCGAUGCAUUAGCUAGUUGGAAAGGUAACGGCUUACCAAGGCGAUGAUGCAGAGCCGAUGUGUGAGACUGAUCGGCCACAUUGGGAAGGAGACACAGCCCAAACUCCUACGGGAGGCAGCAAGAGGGAAUGUGCCACAGUGGACGAAAGUCUGAGGGAGCAACGCGGCAGUAGUGACGAAGGUUUGCGGAUCGUAAAGCUCUGUUGUUGGUGAAGCGGUAAUCAACCAGAAAGUCACGGCUAACUACGUGCCAGCCGCCGCGGUAAUUC